rnacentral:miRNA from 3 species
AGUGUUCACGGCGGUCCUUAAU